rnacentral:rRNA from 1 species
AGAGUUUGAUCCUGGCUCAGGAUUAACGCUAGCGGCAGGCCUAAUACAUGCAAGUCGAGGGGUAACAGUUCUUUUCGGAGAAGCUGACGACCGGCGCACGGGUGCGUAACGCGUAUGCAACCUACCCUUUACAGGAGGAUAGCCCGGGGAAACCCGGAUUAAUACUCCAUAAGAUGACAGUAUUACAUGGUACAGUCAUAAAAGCUUUCGGGUGGUAAAGGAUGGGCAUGCGUCUGAUUAGCUAGUUGGUGUGGUAACGGCACACCAAGGCGAUGAUCAGUAGCGGGUCUGAGAGGAUGAUCCGCCACACUGGUACUGAGAUACGGACCAGACUCCUACGGGAGGCAGCAGUAGGGAAUAUUGGUCAAUGGGGGCAACCCUGAACCAGCCAUGCCGCGUGCAGGAAGACAGCCUUCUGGGUUGUAAACUGCUUUUAAAGGGGAAGAAAGGGUUCGAUGCGUCGAAUUUUGACGGUACCCUAAGAAUAAGCACCGGCUAACUCCGUGCCAGCAGCCGCGGUAAUACGGAGGGUGCAAGCGUUGUCCGGAUUUAUUGGGUUUAAAGGGUGCGUAGGCGGAUUAUUAAGUCAGUGGUGAAAGUCUGCGGCUCAACCGUAGGAGUGCCAUUGAAACUAGUAGUCUUGAGUGUCGAUGAGGUAUGCGGAAUUUAUGGUGUAGCGGUGAAAUGCAUAGAUACCAUAAAGAACACCGAUAGCGAAGGCAGCAUACUAAACGGUAACUGACGCUGA